UCACUCGCUUGGAAUAUAUAUUAUGCAUAUCAAUCAAUGACGAGAGAGAAGACUAUCAACGAAUACUCCCCUAGUAGCUGCGACGUGAAGCGCGAAGAAGCUGCAUCAUAUAAAAAUCAUGCGCUCUUUGGCCCGUUCCGAGUUGUAGAUCUGGAGAAGUGCUUCCGCGCUGGACCGUGUAUAAGUCUCUUGGAACAGAGCGUCAUAGAGGGUGAGAAUCCCGUCUCUGACACGGACUACCAGUGCUUUGUGAUGCGCUCUCAAAGAGUCGAGUUGUUUGGGAAUGCAGCUCAAAAUGGGUGGUGAAUUCCAUUUAAAGGUAAAUAUUGGCGAGAGACCGAUAGCGAACAAGUUCCGUGAGGGAAAGAUGAAAAGCCCUUUGGAAAGAGAGUUAAACAGUACGUGAAAUUGUUGAAAGGGAAACGCUUGAAGUCAGUCGCGUUGUCCGGAACUCAGCCUUGCUUUUGCUUGGUGCACUUUCCGGUUGACGGGUCAGCAUCGAUUUUGACUGUUGGAAAAGGGCUGGAGUAAUGUGGCACCUCCGGGUGUGUUAUAGACUCUGGUCGCAUACGGCGGUCGGGAUUGAGGAACGCAGCGCGCCGCAAGGCAGGGGUUCGCCCACUUUCGCGCUUAGGAUGCUGGCAUAAUGGCUUUAAACGACCCGUCUUGAAACACGGACCAAGGAGUCUAACAUACCUGCGAGUGUUUGGGUGGAAAACCCGAGCGAGCAAUGAAAGUGAAAGUUGAGACCCCUGUCGUGGGGGGCAUCGACGCCCGGACCUGACGUUCUCUGACGGAUCCGCGGUAGAGCAUGUAUGUUGGGACCCGAAAGAUGGUGAACUAUGCCUGAAUAGGGUGAAGCCAGAGGAAACUCUGGUGGAGGCUCGUAGCGAUUCUGACGUGCAAAUCGAUCGUCAAAUUUGGGUAUAGGGGCGAAAGACUAAAUUCGAAACCCCUUU
rnacentral:rRNA from 1 species